UACGGGAGGGGGCAAGCGUUGUUCGGAAUUACUGGGCGUAAAGGGCGCGUAGGCGGUGCUCUAAGUCGGAUGUGAAAACUCUGGGCUCAACCCAGAGCCUGCAUCCGAAACUGGAGUGCUAGAGUUCUGGAGGGGGUAGCGGAAUUCCUGGUGUAGCGGUGAAAUGCGUAGAUAUCAGGAGGAACACCGGUGGCGAAGGCGGCUACCUGGACAGAAACUGACGCUGAGGCGCGAAAGCUAGGGGAGCAAACAGG
rnacentral:rRNA from 1 species